rnacentral:misc_RNA from 1 species
AACACAUCAAACAGGAAAUAAAUGAAAAAAAUGCUGAAAUUGAAAAAUACAAGAAAUGUAUUCUUGAAAGUGCAGAUGCGUUUCAGGAAUUAGAGACUUCAAAUAUCAUAUUUUUCAGAAACAAAUGCAGAAUGCAAAUGAACAAGAAACAAAAUUAAGAAAUGAUAUUAAGGACAAAACGGAAUGUAUAAAAGAACUUGAAAAGAAACAGCAUUUUUUACUUCAACAGUCGCAAGAAAAUGAAUCUAAAAUGGAAAUGUACGAG